CAGCCGCCGCGGUAAUACGUAGGGUGCGAGCGUUAAUCGGAUUUACUGGGCGUAAAGCGUGCGCAGGCGGCCCGUUAAGACAGGUGUGAAAUCCCUGGGCUCAACCUAGGAAUUGCGCUUGUGACUGGCGGGCUCGAGUACGGUAGAGGGGGGUGGAAUUCCUGGUGUAGCAGUGAAAUGCGUAGAGAUCAGGAGGAACACCGAUGGCGAGGGCAGCCCCCUGGGCCUGUACUGACGCUCAUGCACGAAAGCGUGGGGAGCAAACAGGAUUAGAUACCCUGGUAGUCCACGCCCUAAACGAUGGGUACUAGCCGUUUGGGGCGCGAUAGCGCUGAGUGGCGAAGCUAACGCGUGAAGUACCCCGCCUGGGGAGUACGGCCGCAAGGUUGAAACUUAAAGGAAUUGGCGGG
rnacentral:rRNA from 1 species